CACAGCAAAGGGAGACGUCAUUUGCUACUAUGGGAACCGAGGGGAGCCUGAUCCUAUCGUUUUGACGCCAGGUGGCCCCCCAACCUGGCGUGAGGUGAAGAGGUUCCCUCUUGGCUGUCCCCUUU
rnacentral:sRNA from 1 species